CCUACGGGAGGCAGCAGUGGGGAAUAUUGGGCAAUGGGCGCAAGCCUGACCCAGCAACGCCGCGUGAAGGAAGAAGGCUUUCGGGUUGUAAACUUCUUUUCUCAGGGACGAAGCAAGUGACGGUACCUGAGGACUAAGUCACGGCUAACUACGUGCCAGCAGCCGCGGUAAUACGUAGGUGGCAAGCGUUAUCCGGAUUUACUGGGUGUAAAGGGCGUGUAGGCGGGAAAGCAAGUCAGAUGUGAAAACCAUGGGCUCAACCUGUGGCCUGCAUUUGAAACUGUUUUUCUUGAGUACUGGAGAGGCAGACGGAAUGCCUAGUGUAGCGGUGAAAUGCGUAGAUAUUAGGAGGAACACCAGUGGCGAAGGCGGUCUGCUGGACAGCAACUGACGCUGAGGCGCGAAAGCGUGGGGAGCAAACAGGAUUAGAUACCCGGGUAGUC
rnacentral:rRNA from 1 species